CAUCAAUAUUGCCUCUGAUCCUGUUAAUUAGGGAACACCUAAGGCUAAGACCUUAGUCUUGCCAGAGCAAAGCCUCAGCAGUACUACUCCUUCCUGCUCUAGGGGGCUGCUGAAGUAACACGUUCCAUGCUGGAAUCUUCAGGCACUGAAAGGAAAAGGCCCUAUGUUGAGUGACCUGGGAGCUCUAGGAACCCAGAUUGGAUGGCAGACAAGGUCUAUCUGAUACUAGUCGAGUAAAUGCUGUUCUGACUUUCAAGCUCCAGGUCAGAACUGGGACACCCUCCUCUCUAAGGAAGUUUCAAGGUGACAAAGGCAGCGCUGAGGGUAACUUAAGGUAGAGAGACCAGGAGCUUCAACUCAAACACAUUGCCAUCACUUUCUGAGAAUCUAAAUGUUAACUUAGAGUGAACAUCAACGGAUAAUCCAACUGAUGGCUGCCUUCGCAGAGAGAGUUGCUGUAUGGCUUUCAUCGUAUUAGACUCCUGGAUAAACGCAACAGAAGUCAACCUGAAAUUGAAGAGUCUCCUAUUAACAACCCUUGAUUCUUUCUUGCUUACUUGCUUAUAGCCCUCGUUGGCCGCUGGCCUAGAACUCACUAUGUAGACUAAGUUGGUCCUUUCCUCCCAGGGAUCUGUCUGCCUCUGCCUCCUGGCCACUGAGAUUAAAGUUAUGUCCAGCAACAACCCGGCAAUUCUAACACUCCAGAACUAUUAUUUGGGGCCAGAAGGAGGCCUACACAGGCAAGGAUGCUCCUUCCACGUCCAGUGUACUAGCAAAAGAUGCCCUAACUUCCGCAGGAGGGUGGGUGGAUGCACACUGCUUUUUCAAAGUGUAGUGCCCAACCAAGUAAAUCACUCAGAUGCAAUCGAAGUGUCUCAAAAUUGCAAUAAGGAGUAAAAAU
ensembl:lncRNA